UACGUAGGUGGCAAGCGUUGUCCGGAUUUAUUGGGUUUAAAGGGUGCGUAGGCGGUCUAUUAAGUCAGUGGUGAAAUACUCCAGCUUAACUGGAGGGGUGGCAUUGAUACUGAUGGACUUGAGUACAGAUGAGGUAGGCGGAAUUGACGGUGUAGCGGUGAAAUGCAUAGAUAUCGUCAAGAACACCGAUAGCGAAGGCAGCUUACUGGGCUGUAACUGACGCUGAUGCACGAAAGUGUGGGGAUCAAACAGG
rnacentral:rRNA from 1 species